UGAAAUAGCACAUGCUGUGUGAGGUAAAGA
rnacentral:piRNA from 1 species